AGUAAAGAAAUAACUGUCUGAAAAAGUCCCUGGGAGGGUUAAAGUCCCUAAAAAGGGUUAGAAGCCCUUAAGUUAAAGGGUUAAAGUCCCUGAAGGGUUAAAGUCCCUGACCAAAUGUUUUAAACCAAGGUUUAGAAGAAACCUGGAGGUGCACGGACGCGUGGCCUUUACAACAGCGCGCUGUGGGGAACAGACAGAUAGUAAAUAAAAUAAAAUAAAAUAAAAA